rnacentral:rRNA from 1 species
CCAGAUGACGCUGCGGCGUGCUUAACACAUGCAAGUCGAACGAUGAUCUCCAGCUUGCUGGGGGGAUUAGUGGCGAACGGGUGAGUAACACGUGAGUAACCUGCCCUUGACUCUGGGAUAAGCCUGGGAAACUGGGUCUAAUACCGGAUACGACCGUCCCGCGCAUGCGGUGGUGGUGGAAAGCUUUUGCGGUUUUGGAUGGACUCGCGGCCUAUCAGCUUGUUGGUGGGGUAAUGGCCUACCAAGGCGACGACGGGUAGCCGGCCUGAGAGGGUGACCGGCCACACUGGGACUGAGACACGGCCCAGACUCCUACGGGAGGCAGCAGUGGGGAAUAUUGCACAAUGGGCGAAAGCCUGAUGCAGCGACGCCGCGUGAGGGAUGACGGCCUUCGGGUUGUAAACCUCUUUCAGUAGGGAAGAAGCGAAAGUGACGGUACCUGCAGAAGAAGCGCCGGCUAACUACGUGCCAGCAGCCGCGGUAAUACGUAGGGCGCAAGCGUUAUCCGGAAUUAUUGGGCGUAAAGAGCUCGUAGGCGGUUUGUCGCGUCUGCUGUGAAAGACCGGGGCUCAACUCCGGUUCUGCAGUGGGUACGGGCAGACUAGAGUGAUGUAGGGGAGACUGGAAUUCCUGGUGUAGCGGUGAAAUGCGCAGAUAUCAGGAGGAACACCGAUGGCGAAGGCAGGUCUCUGGGCAUUAACUGACGCUGAGGAGCGAAAGCAUGGGGAGCGAACAGGAUUAGAUACCCUGGUAGUCCAUGCCGUAAACGUUGGGCACUAGGUGUGGGGGACAUUCCACGUUUUCCGCGCCGUAGCUAACGCAUUAAGUGCCCCGCCUGGAGU